UAGCCCUUCAUCAGUAAAGUUUAGAGAAUUCCCGGUUGCUACAUUGUCUCCUAUUGAUUUCUUCCUUUGGUUGAUCUGCGGUUUUUUAUUAUAGUAAUUGCGGCUUG